AUUGAACGCUGGCGGUAGUCCUAACACAUGCAAGUCGAGCGUAUGAAGUUAGCUUGCUUCUGGAUUCAGCGGCGGACUGGUGAGUAAUGUCUAGUAAUCUGCCUGGUAGUGGGGGAUAACGUCCGGAAACGUGCGCUAAUACCGCAUACGUCCUGCGGGAGCAUGUUGGGUAUCUUCGGACCUCACGCUAUCAGAUGAUCCUAGGUCGGAUUAGCUAGUUUGUGGGGUAAAGGCCUACCAAGGCGACGAUCCGUAACUGGUCUGAGAGGAUGAUCAGUCACACUGGAACUGAGACACGGUCCAGACUCCUACGGGAGGCAGCAGUGGGGAAUAUUGGACAAUGGGCGAAAGCCUGAUCCAGCCAUGCCGCGUGUGUGAAGAAGGUCUUCGGAUUGUAAAGAACUUUAAGUUGGGAGGAAGGGCAGUAAGUUAAUACCUUGCUGUUUUGACGUUACCAACAGAAUAAGCACAGGCUAACUUCGUG
rnacentral:rRNA from 1 species